rnacentral:rRNA from 1 species
AGCAGUAGCCGCGGUAAUACGUAGGGUGCAAGCGUUAAUUGGAAUUACUGGGCGUAAAGCGUGCGCAGGCGGUUAUAUAAGACAGAUGUGAAAUCCCCGGGCUCAACCUGGGAACUGCAUUUGUGACUGUAUAGCUAGAGUACGGCAGAGGGGGAUGGAAUUCCGCGUGUAGCAGUGAAAUGCGUAGAUAUGCGGAGGAACACCGAUGGCGAAGGCAAUCCCCUGGGCCUGUACUGACGCUCAUGCACGAAAGCGUGGGGAGCAAACAGGAUUAGAUACCCCAGUAGUCCCUGUCUCUUAUAC